AAGAAGACAGAUCAAUUUCAAAAUACGGUUUAUUGACAAGAAUCAAAAACUUGUUUAUUUUUGGAUUCCGUACAAAAACAAAAUAAUAAAACGGAACCCUUAUAAUACGUCCGUCCGUCUGCCACAGCCAAUUUUCAAAUCAGAAGAAAUUUGGUAAGAAAAUCUAAAAAGUCCAAAUACAGACGGUAACUUUUAAAAUUAAAAUAAACAGUUUUGCAAAUCAUAUCGUAUAUCAAAUAAAAGAUCUCAAAUAUAGCUUUGUUAUUAUUGAAAAGACGACUGACCGCUUUAGAUUCACAAUAUAUUAUUAGUAUUGAUUCGAGAAAAAAUGGAUACAUGGCGCUAGUGGUUUUAAAAUUCCGCGCUGUUGUUUUUAUUAAAAGCUAUGUUAUUUAAAUUUCAAUAAUACUAUCAUACAAAAACUCAUACGGAGUACACGCACCCAGAUCUCCGAAACUACCUAAGAUUUUCAAAAUACACUUGACCGGUUUAUUUAUACUUAACCAACAUUUUCUAAUACGUACGCUCUACUAUACCAAAAUAGGGUUAGGAGAAUUCUGAUUCUCCUUGUAAUUUUGAAGGUAAUUGUAAAUUGUUUGCUUCGUUUCUUGCAAGUUGUAAAGAAUCAAUUAAGUUAGAAAUGCUCCGGGCUCGUUAUAUCGAUUAAAUAGUAUAUCUACGUAGUGGGAUGGAUGUAUUCUCAUAAAUUCUUCUAAAUACAUAUGAUUUAAAAAAGACAUCAACGAAUCCAAAUGUGUUUUGUAAAGUUAUUUUUUUAAAUAGCUUUUAAAAUGUAAUGAACGACAAAUAAAAAAUGAGCGUUGUGUCCGUAUCAGGAAGAGAAAUAGAAAUGGAUAAAGAAAAAAAUAGAAACUCAGCCGGCAGCGGCCAUUUUGUUAUCGAAAUUCGUACGAGUACGAGACGAUUAUCGUCGUACGAGAUGAUUAUUACCCAAUCUUGCAAGAAUGUUUUCGAUAGGUAUCUGGAAUAGUCAUUGGGUACUUAUUAAUUUUCGCAAUUCCCAGGGGAGUGAAGCUAGCUUAAAUAAGGUAAACUACAGUAAUAAUUAAUGCAAUACAUUUUAUUUCAAAAAACACCCAUGUUCACAUAUGUCUUCACAGUUUUAUACUCAUUAAUACUUAUUACUAUGAUGUCAAAUCACUUAAACUAAGCAUUUUCUAGCAUAUCAUUUCACUAUGUACUAUCUAAUUAAACCUAUUAGGAAACAUACUAGAUUGAAUAGGAACUUUACUUGUAGACGUGCUUUACCUCGCGCAGUACACAAAUAACAUUUUCAAGCAUAAAAAAUAAGUACAAAUUCAUGAUAAUUAAGUAAAAUUGUCUUAAAAUUAUAAUACACAUUGAUUUAAAAUUGUGAAAUAUUGUUGAAUGUCAUUUUAAUGAUAAGUAAUGGUUAGUUUGAAAUUGUGAUUAUUUGUGAUAUUUAAUACACUGUUCGAAGGAACAAGCGACGUCAAGAAUUGGGUGAAGACUUCGACGCCUAUCACCGAAGGUCGUCAGGGUCGCUAUCUCAGGAUGAUGUCAGACUCGAAGCCCAGGGGCCGGCAGUGGUGGAUGUAGCUGU